rnacentral:rRNA from 1 species
AACGUUGUUCGGAAUUACUGGGCGUAAAGCGUGUGUAGGCGGCUAUGUAAGUCGGGCGUGAAAUCCCACGGCUCAACCGUGGAAGUGCACCCGAAACUGCGUAGCUAGAGUCCUGGAGAGGAAGGUGGAAUGCUUGGUGUAGAGGUGAAAUUCGUAGAUAUUCGCAAGAACACCAGUGGCGAAGGCGGCUCACUGGCCCGAUACUGACGCUGAGGCACGAAAGCGUGGGGAGCAAACAGG